rnacentral:rRNA from 1 species
UACGUAGGGGGCAAGCGUUGUCCGGAAUUACUGGGCGUAAAGGGCUCGUAGGUGGCCAACUAAGUCAGACGUGAAAUCCCUCGGCUUAACCGAGGAACUGCCCUCCAAACUGCUUGGCUUGAGUCCGGGAGAGGUGAGUGGAAUUCCCAGUGUAGCGGUGAAAUGCGUAGAUAUUGGGAGGAACACCAGUGGCGAAGGCGGCUCACUGGACCAGCACUGACGCUGAGGCACGAAAGCGUGGGGAGCAAACAGG